AUGGUUCUAUGACAGUUAAGGCUGCAGCUGGGGACCAGGGAUCAUGAGUUGCCCUCAGCCCUUGAGCCAAAAGGAUCCAGAAAAGUGCUGCUAGUGACUCCCAGUGGCACGGAAAAAGAAACAGAAGGUGGAUUUCCCAUCAUCAGAGGAUUGAUAUCCUAUAAUCAGGCAAGGGAGGAGGACGAAAGAUACCCAACUAUCAGGUAAGGGAUGAAGAGAAAGGAUACCCAAUAAUCAGGUAAGGGAUGAAGAGGAGAAACACCCAAUAAUCAGGUAAGGGAUGAAGAGGAGAAAUGCCCAAUAAUCAGGUAAGGAAUGAAGAGGAGAAAUACCCAAUAAUCAAGUAAGGGAUGAAGAGGAAGGACACCCAAUUAUAAGGUAAGAGAAGAGGAAGAAAGAUACCCGAUUAUCAGGUAAGAGAAGAGGAAAAUACCCAAUAAUCAGGUGAGGGAUGAAGAGGAGAAAUGCCAAAUUAUCAGGUAAGGGAUGAAAAGGAGAAAUACCCAAUAAUCAGGUAAGGAAUGAAGAGGAGAAAUACCCAAUAAUCAGGUAAGGGAUGAAGAGGAAGGACACCCAAUUAUAAGGUAAGAUAAGAAGAAGAAAGAUGCCCAAUUAUUAGGUAAGAGAAGAGGAAAAUACCCAAUAAUCAGGUGAGGGAUGAAGAGGAGAAAUGCCAAAUAAUCAGGUAAGGGAUGAAGAGGAAGGACACGCGAUAAUCAGGUAAGAGAAGAGGAAGAAUUUUAGAGGAGGGCGACUAAAAUGAUUAAGGGUCUGGAGAACAAGCCCUAUGAGGAGCGGCUUAAAGAGCUGGGCAUGUUUAGCCUGCAGAAGAGAAGGCUGAGAGGAGACAUGAUAGCCAUGUACAAAUAUGUGAAGGGAAGUCAUAGGGAAGAGGGAGCAAGCUUGUUUUCUGCUGCCCUGCAGACUAGGACACGGAACAAUGGCUUCAAACUACAGGAAAGGAGAUUCCACCUGAACAUCAGGAAGAACUUCCUCACUGUGAGAGCUGUUCGACAGUGGAACUCUCUCCCCGGGGCCGUGGUGGAGGCUCCUUCCUUGGAGGCUUUUAAGCAGAGGCUGGAUGGCCAUCUGUCGGGGGUGCUUUGAAUGCGAUUUCCUGCUUCUUAGCAGGGGGUUGGACUAGAUGGCCCAUGUGGUCUCUUCCAACUCUACUAUUCUAUGAUUCUAUGAUUCUAAGAAAGAUACCCAAUAAUCAGGUAUGGGAUGAAGAGGAAGAAUACUAAUUUAUCAGUUAAGAGAAGCGGAAAGAUACCCAAUUAUCAGGUAAGGGAUGAAGAGGAGAAAUACCCAAUAAUCAGGUAAGGGAUGAAGAGGAAAAACACCUAAAAAUCAGGUAAGGGAUGAAAAGGACAGAUGCCCAAUAAUCAGGUAAGAGAAGAGGCGUGAUUUCGUCUCCCCGAGGUAUUUCUAAUCUCCAGAAGAACCUUCUUGAACACACAACAUCCAGUGAAGUGGAUCUGCAGGAACAGAAGUCAAGAAAAAGAAAAAGAAGAAAAAGAAUGAGAAAGAAAGAAGGAAGGAAAAGCAGAAAGUUGGUUGAUUUAACUGGGAGGAAAACCUGGUAGCAAGCUGAAGAAAAGCAAAAAAAGUUAGGCAAGAGAAAAGAAUAAACUGGAAAAGAUGCUGGAGACUAUUGGAGGAAAAAAGACCAAUGUGAAGGGAAGACAUCUCAAGGUGAAGGCACUUUUCCAGAUUACAUGCCACUGAAAGCUUUUGUGAAACUCAUCCUGCUCCAGCUACGAGAUAGAAGGUCCUGGAUCCAUUCUUCUGGUGGCCCUGUAGCAAUUACAAGCAAUGCAGUUUGGUAUUUUAUGGCAGCAAUAGAAGACUGCAAUUAGUAUAGAUGUGCCCAAGAAGUAAGUGUGUGUGUGUGUGUGUGUGUCUGUGUGUGUGUGUCUGUGUGUGUGUGUGUGUGUGUCUGUGUGUGUGUGUGUGUGUAUAUAUAUAUAUAUAUAUAUAUAUAUAUAGGACCAUCAUCCUCAAGCUGCGAGGGAUCACCUAAGUAAAAGUAAUUAAGUGUGUGUGUGUGUGUGUGUGUGUGUGUGUGGCAAGUUCUUGGUGGAAUGGAGAGACCAAGAUACCUUAUCUGUCUCCUGAGGAAUCUGUAUAACAACCAAGAAGCAACAGUAAGAACAGACCACGGAACAAUGGACUGGUUCAAGAUUAGGAAAGGAGUAUGGCAGGGCUGUAUCCUCUCACCUGACUUAUUCAACUUGUAUGCAGAACACAUCAUGCAACAUGCGGGACUUAAUGAAUCUAAGGCUGGAGUUAAAAUUGCUGGAAUAAACAUUAACAACCUUAGAUAUGCAGAUGAUACCACUCUGAUGGCUGAAAGCAAGGAGGAGCUGAGGAGCCUUAUCACCAAGGUGAAAGAAGAAAGUGCAAAAACUGGGUUGCAGUUAAACAUCAAGAAAACCAAGAUGAUGGCAACCAGACUGAUUGAUUGCUGGCAAAUAGAGGGAGAAAAUAUGGCGGCAGUGACAGACUUUGUAUUUCUAGGUGCAAAGAUUACUGCAGAUUCAGGCUGCAGCAAGGAAAUCAGAAGAUGUUUACUUCAUGGGAGGAGAGCAAUAACCAACCAUGAUAAAAUAGUGAAGAGUAGCGACAUCACACUGGCAAUGAACAUCCUGCAUAGUUAAAAGCAAUGGUAUUCCCCGUAGUAACCUAUGGAUGCGAGAGAGAGCUGGACCAUAAGGAAGGCUGAGUGAAGGAAGAAAGACACUUUUGAACUGUGUUGGAGGAAAAUUCUGAGAGUACCUUGGACCGCAAGAAGAUCCAACCAGUCCAUAUUGCAGGAAAUAAUGCCCGACUCAACUGCUCACUGGAGGGAAGGAUAUUGGAGGCAAAGAUGAAGUAUUUUGGCCACAUCAUGAGAAGACAGGAAAACUUGGAGAAGACAAUGAUGCUGGGGAAAAGGGAGGGGAAAAGGAGGGCCGACCAAGGGCAAGGUGGAUGGACUGGCUCCACCUUGAAGGAUCUGGGAGUGGCCAUGCUGAAAGGCAGCUCUGGCCUGGGCUGUUAGAGGAGGUCACGAAGAGUCGGAAGCAACUGAACAAAUAAACAACACAGCAACAGCAGCAACAACAACAACAACAACAUGUAGACUUGUCCACUGCUGCAUGGUAUACGGUAGACUCCUGCAGAGGUGAGAAGAUCCCUCCAAGGGAAACGGAACCCCCUAAACUGAGCUCUCAAGGCCAUAGAGACUCUACCAUAGACAUCAGAAGAGAUGCAAGACCAAGAACAAACCACAAGAGUCAAGACAAGGGAGUAGGAGUGGCCACGACUGCUGACAGGGAGCUCUGGUCUGGGCUGGGCCAGGAGGUCAUGAAGAGGCAGAAGCUACUGAAUGAAUAAACUAUAACAUAUAUAUCUCACAACCAAAUACCUGUAGCAAGAGAUGGCUGGGAAGAAAAAGAACAAAAUGUGAAUUUAAAAGUGGCUCUAAAGGAGGAACUUCCUGGGAUAAAAGAUGACAUUUGCCAAACCUCGUUGACACUGGAAACGCAUUGCUGUUGGAAGAAGUCGAAAGGAAUGGUUUUCCUUUUACACACACAUUUUAGAAGAGACCAUGAAGGUCUAAGUCCUAAUGCCAGGAAUCCACAACUAAAGCAGUCUUGAGAAGAGGGCAACACAUUUCCAUGUAAAGAUUUCCAAUGGAGAAAAGUUCCUCUUUCAAGGAGUCUUUGGUUAAUUCUAAGACGGAAAGGCUCUUCCUCUGAGGAGCAUCUUGCCAAGGCAUUUCCCAGCAGGAAGGUGACAUCCACGGCAAGCUGGUGUUGGGAAGGAGAGGCUUAGGCUGGGUAAGUCCCAAAGGCCCUUUCUGACAUGCCCAGGGUAGCACUGGUCGCCACUUUUGGGGCCGGGAAGGAAUUUUCCUCCAGGGCAGAUUGGCCAAGGACUCGGGAGGUUUUUCGCCUUCCUCUGGGCAUCCGGCAGCGGCCUCCGGUUAGGAAGAUUAACUAGGUAAAACUCACUUAAGUUUAACUCAGCAAAGGGUGAUAGCUUCGUAAGGGAAAAUUAAGAAAGUGCAUGGAUAUGGAAGUGUUAAAAUAAGGAAUCCAUGUCCAGAGGAAGAAGGAAUACAAGGUCUUCAGAGGUGCAAAGAAGAAGGAAACUUUCACCAUUUGGAAACAGAAGAUGGCACACUGUUGAAUAUGAAGACUGCAAAUAACACAUUUCUAGCAAGAGUUUUUUGCUGAUUGGAUAUAUAUAUAUACUGUAUAUACUCAAAUAUAAGCCAGAUGUCAGUCCUUUUAUGAUUAUUAUCACAUUUAUUAUUUUACCCUCUAUAUUAUUAAUAUCACAUUUAUUAUAUUACCCUCUUUGUUAUUUUACCACAUUUAUUAUUUUACCCUCUUUAUUAUUUUUAUCACACUUAUUUUGAUCACAUUUAUUAUUUUACUCUUAUUUUAUCACAUUUAUUAUUUUACCCUCUAUUAUUUUACCACAUUUCUUAUUUUGAUCACAUUUAUUUUACUCUUUUUAUUAUUAUCACAUUUAUUAUUUUACCCUCUUUAUUAUUAUCAUCACAUUUAUUAUCUUACUCCCUAUAUUAUUUUUAUCACAUUUAUUUUACUCCCUUUAUUAUUUUGAUCACAUUUAUUAUUUUACCCUCUAUUAUUCUUAUCACAUUUAUUAUUUUAUCGUCUUUGUUAUUAUUAUCACAUUUAUUUUACUCUCUCUUAUUAUUAUUACAUUUAUUAUUCCACUCUAUCAUUAUUGUUAUUACUAUAUUUAUUAUUUUACUCUAUUAUUAUUGGAAUGAUAUGUCAGCAGAUUUAUACUGAUGAUUAGAGUGAUGAUUUAAGCAGAGUUGGACAGUCUUAUCUUAAAAUAUGGCUUAUAUUCUGGUUGGCUUAUACUCGAAUAUAUACGGUGCAUACAUACAAAUACAUACAUAUGUAUCCAGUCCUGUUUACUAAAUUUGAAUCUAAAGUUGAAAUAGAAGCAAACAUCAGAAGAAAGCAUCAUGUUAUGUAGUGAAGAUGUUCUUCCCUGGAUGAUGAUGUGCCCUGGAGAAGAUGGAAACAGAGAGCAUCACCCUUCACUUGCCAAGAAAGUAAAGGAAAGGAGAGAGAGAAGAAGGAGAAAGUAAAGAGGAAAGGAAAGAGGAGAGGAGGAGAGGGAAAAGGGGAAAGGAGAGAGAAGAGGAGAGAGAAGAUGAGAGGGGUGAGGAGAGAGGAGAGAAGGGGAGGGGGAGAGGUGAGGAAGAAGAAGGAGAGAGGAAAGGAAAGGGGAAAGGAGAGUGGAAAUGCAAGUAGAGAGGAGAGGCGAAAGUAGUGGAGAGGAAAGUAGAGAGGAAAGUGAGGGAAGUAGAGGGGAAAGGAGAGGGGAAAGGAGAGGAGAAGGAAAAGGAGAGAUGAGAGAGAAAAGGAGACGGAGAGGAGAGAGGAGAGGAGAGAAGAAAGGAGAAGGGAUAGGAGAGGCAAGGAGAAAGGAGAGGAGAGAGGCAAGUAGAGAAGAAAGGAGAGGUGAGGAGAGAAGAAAGGACGGAAGGAGAGGGGAAAGGAGAGGAGAGAGGCAAGGAGAGGGAAAUGGAGAGAGGAAAGGAGAAAAGAGAAAGGAGAAAGGAGCGGAGGGAGGAGAGUAGGAGAAAAGGAGAGAGGAGAGGCAAGAGGAAAGGAGAGGGGAAGGGAGGAAAGAGAGAGGGGAAGGGAGGAAAGAGAGAGGCGAGAAGAGAGGAAAGGAGAGAGGAAAGGAGAUGGGAAAGGACAGGGGAAAGCCGAGGAGAGAGGACAGGUGAGGACAGAGUAUUGGAGAGGAGAGGAGAAAGGAAAGAAAAGGUCUUUGCUGACAUGCCCAGGGUAACACUGACCGCCACUUCUGGGGUCGGGAAGGAAUUUUCCUCCAGGGCAGAUUGGCUCUGGAUCCUGGAGGUUUUUCGCCUUCCUCUGGGCAUCCGGCAAAGGUCUCACUCAGUUAGGCUAAAACACACUAUAAUACAACAGCAGGCCAAUAUUGAACUAACCAAAAAUGCAAGCCAAUUUGAAUAAAAGCCAUGAAUCUGAUAA